GGUAGCAUGACCGAGUGGUCUAAGGUGCUGGAUUUAGGCUCCAGUCUCUGGAGGUGUGGGUUCGAAUCCCACCUCUGUCA